GCUACGGACCCUCUCGAUUUGGUGCCUCGGACCCUCUCAGGGGCCUGCGGGCCUGGAGGACCUCAGGGCCGGGGCCAGGCGGGUGGGAGACGGGGCAGGGCGGUGGGUUCCAGGUGGGUGGUGGACCCCCUCCGGGCCCUGGGCGGCAAGCAAGAGGUGCGCCCCUGCGACAUCCGCAGAGGCCCGUCGGGAUCAGGGCGCGGGACUCCAGGGAGCCAGCCCUCCUGCUGAGCACGCAGGGGCUGGGGGCGGGCUGGGGGCCCUCGGGGUCCCGUGAUUCUCACCUCCCGCUGGGGCGCGUGGCCAGUUCGGGCUCAGACACGGCUUCCCUUCCAGAGACGGCUCGGGCUCAGAGGGUGUGUGGGCGGGAGACGGAUUGCAGGGAGUCUCUGUGUCUCACAGACACCAGCCGUGGGGGUGUCUUCCUAGUAUGCGGUUUAUUACGAGGAAUGGGCUCAGGUGGCCGAGGAGGCCGAGGCGGCCCCGUCUGCAGCCUGGGGACAGGAGCCAGUGAUGCGGCUUGAAGGCCGAGAGCUGGGAGCUGCAGAACCAGAAUAGGGUCAGAGCAGACACCCCGCCCCCCGGCGGUCAAGUACACGUGAUUUUCGCCACGACAGAGACCCCGCUGGACGAGAAGACUUCGGAAGUCCGUGAGGGGGAGGGGCCAUCCAUCCAUCCUGUGACGGGAAAGACGCAGGUAACCACGCUGCCACCAGGCAGCCUGCACUCUCCCUUGGGUGGUCGGGGCUCCGGCAGGGGUCUGAGGCCGUGCAGAGCCAUCUGUAAACCGGGCCCUCUCGUGGCCCGCCCCAGCCGGCCUGGGACCCGGGGACGGAGUCACAGGUGCAGCGCGUUCGCCCGAUGGAGGAGCUCGGGCUCAGCCCAGCCUGUGACGCGGUGGUUCAGGCAAGAUCUGUUCACGUCAGGCAGCCUGGCCUCCCGGGCAUUCAGUGUCUCGCCUCCAAGUGAGGGUGGUUCCCCGUGCACAGCGUCCUCUGCUGGGGCCUCCCGCUGGGGCUCCUGCAGGGAACCAGCAGGAAACUCCUACCUGCCCCCUUCGGGCACUGGGACGCCCCCUCCCCCCGUCAUCAGGGACCGGCUGUGGCUUUGCUCUUGCCCUGUCCCCACUUGGAGCUGGGGACCCUCCCCUGGGGAGCCCUUCCCUCCACACCCACAAAGGUGCCUGAGCCGGGUGCCCCUUUCUGAGAGGUUGGGAGUAAGUCCCAGGUCUCGGGACCCCCGGCACGAAGCUCCGCUGGGAGGGCCCCCCACUCGCGGGGGCUCACGUCCCACCUUCCUGCAGGCAAGGCGCCCACGUCCUGCUCUCCGUGUCUGGGUUAGCGAGACCAUCACGACUUCCACGGGCCAGACCGUGGUGCAGAGGGGCGGGUGUGUGCCUGAGGCCAGGUGGCGGGGACCUGCCGAUGUUCCUGGUUCCCUGGAAGAGGGGAAAAGCUUCCCCCCAGAUCUGACUGCACACCGGGCAGCCGUUAGGACCCAGGUCUGGAGCCGCAGCUGCCGCUGGACCCACGUGUGUGAUGCCCUUGCCAAUCUCGGGCUGCGCCAGCCCUGCUUGGCCAUCAAGCGCAUCUAAAAUCUUGGGGGUAGUGUCGUCUCUCCCGCUCCUCUGGGAACGUGGGGAACUCUGGGCUUUGGUAGCAGAAGAGAGCCCUGGGUUGGGGCCAUGUGGAAAUGCAUUAGCUGCUUUUCCAGCUCUGCCCUCAGGAACCCGAGGAAGCCGUGGAGGGCUCUUCUCUUUCUUCAAAGCCCCAGUUCUGGCAGCAGCCGCCGGCAACCAGAGUCAUCCCAUCAGCCCAGCACCAACCCGGCUGUCAUUGCCAGCUCCCCUCCAGUCAUCCCGGGGUGGCUCGGGUGAUGCA
rnacentral:lncRNA from 1 species